AACGAACGCUGGCGGUAUGCUUAACACAUGCAAGUCGAACGAACAAAAUUGGGGCUUGCUCCAAUUUUAGUGAGUGGCAAACGGGUAAGUAACACGUGGGAAUCUACCUAUCAGUACGGAAUAACAUUUGGAAACAGAUGCUAAUACCGUAUAUUCUCCAAGGAGGAAAGAUUUAUCGCUGAUAGAUGAGCCCGCGCAAGAUUAGGUAGUUGGUAGGGUAAUGGCCUACCAAGCCGACGAUCUUUAGCUGGUCUGAGAGGAUGAUCAGCCACACUGGGACUGAGACACGGCCCAGACUCCUACGGGAGGCAGCAGUGGGGUAUAUUGGACAAUGGGCGAAAGCCUGAUCCAGCAAUACCGCGUGAAUGAUGAAGGCCUUAGGGUUGUAAAGUUCUUUUAGUUGGAAAGAUAAUGACGGUACCAACAGAAAAAGCCCCGGCUAACUCCGUGCCAGCCGCCGCGGUAA
rnacentral:rRNA from 1 species